AGUGAACGCUGGCGGCAUGCUUUACACAUGCAAGUCGAACGGUAACAGGCCUUCGGGUGCUGACGAGUGGCGACCGGGGGAGGAAGGCAGCGGAACGUGCCCAGAGGUGGUGGAUAACGCAGCGAAAGCUGUGCUAAUACCGCCUGUGAUCUGAGGAUGAAAGCGGGGGACCAAGCAGCAAUGUUUGGCCUCGCGCCUCUGGAUCGGCCGAUGUCGGAUUAGGUAGUUGGUGGGGUAAAGGCCUACCAAGCCGACGAUCUGUAGCUGGUCUGAGAGGAUGACCAGGCACCAUGGGACUGGGGCAAGGCCCAGACUCCUAAGGGAGGCAGCAGGGGGGAAAUUUGGACAAUGGGCGGAAGCCCGGUCCAGGAAUUCCGCGGGCGGGAAGGAGGCCUUCGGGGUGGAAAACGCUUUUGUACGGAACGAAAAGGCUCCGGCUAAUACCUGGGGCUGAUGGCGGUAACGUAAGGAUAAGGCCCGGGUAACUACGUG
rnacentral:rRNA from 1 species